rnacentral:lncRNA from 1 species
AAAAAAAAGAAAAAAAAAAGAGAAGAAACGUCUUUUCUAUUAUUUACAUGUACAUCUUUUAUUCUGGUUGAUCUGACUUGACUACUUCGACGAACGAAAGGGAAGUUCUUGCUUUUAUUUAUUGUUGGUUUAUAUUACUGUUUCAUUUUGAAAUUGCAUCAAUUAAAUUUUUGUGCUGCUACUGAUCUAUUUUUAUCUAAACUCACGUAAUUGGAUCCAUUGACCUCGUUAAAUCUCACUUUAACCUGCUUAUUUUACAUGAUUAGGUUUUGACUAGUAUUUGACCAUUGCUUUAUUAUUUUACAUAUAUCAGCAGUACUAGUUUGUUGUAUAUAAUUUUAGUCCCAAAAUUUAAAUUUAAAAAAAAAAAAUUAGCUCAAAUUUUCAUUUUCCAUUACUUGCACUUUUUGUUCAUUGAUCUCUCUAUUGCAUGUCAUUAAGUUGCUAUUACAGUGCAUGAUAUAAUUUUAGUCCCAAAAUUUAAAUUUAAAAAAAAAAAUUAGCUCAAAUUUUCAUUUUCCAUUACUUGCACUUUUUGUUCAUUGACCUCUCUAUUGCAUGUCAUUAAGUUGCUAUUACAGUGCAUGUAGUUACAUAUUGGUCAUCUUGUCACUUCUAACUCUAGUACCUUAAACAUGAACCCCUCACAAUUCGAUGCACUCACCCGACAAAUAGCGGCUAUUCAAACUCAAAUGACCGCUACUCUUGAAGAGAGUAAAGUCCUAUCUGCUAGUUUGAAAAAUUUUAAACACAUCCCUCAUUCGAUUGAUGUCGAUAAUUCUAAGGUGUCCCAUAAUAGACAACAUUAUCGACAAGGUAAUCAAAAAUACUUUCGACCCGAUCGUAAGGACAGGGAUAGGAAUAGGGAUCAAAUUCGU